UUUUCGAAAAAGAGAUUUUCAUGUUAUUUAACAACUUAUUUCAUCAUGAUAUGUAAUGUUUAUUAGUGUUUUUGCAAUAAUUAUAAUGUAAAAAUUAUUAGUGAACGAAUUUUAAAAAGAAUUAAGUGCAACAUUUAAUGAAAAUGCUCUGAAAUUAUUAUCACAACCGGCUUCUAACCUUAUUUCAUAUAUUUAUUUACAAAUAUCUAAUACUAAAAUGCAAAAUUUAUCUAAAUAUUAUUGUCGUUAUUUAUUUUUGUCAAGACGAUUUGUUAGUUCGAUAAUUCACAAUGAAUUUAAACAAAAAAAGGUUAUAAAUAAUCAAUUUUUGGAUUUAUUGAAUCAACCACCAACAGCCCACCUUUUUCCUCUUUCUCAGGCGGCUUUUAACAAAAUUUUAAAACGAUAUUCGAUAUUGCACAGUCUGUUGACACGCAGACGAGCUCCUGAUAAAAAAAAUCAGAAUAAAAUACUUAAUCAACUAUUUUGUACAUCAUCAUCGAAAAAUGGAAGAUCUAAUUCUGGUGAAACAGGUGAUUCUGGAAAGGGUCCGGAUAAAACUCCAAACAACAAAGACGUGAUAGCAGCUGCAAUGAAGCUGGCUAUUUCUGUUUUAAUACUAAAUAUUUUAUUGACUUAUAUUGCAACUUCAAAACAUUCACUAGAGGAUUCAUCUCAUUUUAUAUCCUGGAAUGAAUUUGUUCAUCAAAUGCUAGCUAAAGGAGAAGUAAAAGAAUUAAUAGUGAGACCAGAAGCAAAUUGGGUGACAAUAAUAUUACAUGAUGGAGCUAUAAUUAAUAGAAAAAGGGCAGAUUUUCGUGCUUAUCAGAUGUUAGUAGCAGAUGCAACACGGUUGGAGGAAAAAUUACGUGAAGCUGAAGCUGCUCUAGGUAUCAAGCCAGGACAUGGAGUUUCGAUAACUUAUGAACGACCAAGUAGCGGCUGGUCUUCUAUAUUCACUGUCCUAUUUCUUCUUUGGUUCUUUUUAUUGCUACGUCACAGUAAAACCAGUGGUGGGUCUUUUAUGGAUAUGAUGCCUGGAAGUGAAUUUAAACGUGCUAAAUUCACUUUAAUUGACCCUUUAACCGGUGGAAAAGGAAAGGGAGUUAAAUUUUCGGACGUAGCUGGUCUUAAAGAAGCAAAAGUUGAAGUAAUGGAAUUCGUAGACUAUCUCAAGCAACCAGCACGUUAUAAGAUACUUGGUGCUAAAAUUCCCAAAGGUGCUUUAUUACUUGGACCACCUGGUUGUGGUAAAACAAUGUUGGCAAAAGCAGUAGCAACUGAAGCUCAUGUACCAUUUUUAUCAAUGAAUGGUUCCGAAUUUAUUGAACUAAUUGGAGGUGUAGGAGCUACACGAGUGAGAGAUCUUUUUAAACAAGCUAAAAUGAGAGCACCAAGUAUUUUGUACAUAGAUGAAAUAGAUGCUAUUGGUAAAAGAAGAAGUGGAACAGAAGCAGGUGAAUUUGGAUCAACAGGAGAAUCUGAACAAACGUUAAAUCAGUUACUUGUUGAAAUGGAUGGAAUGGCAAAUCUUGAUGGAGUAGUUGUUUUAGCAUCAACCAAUCGAGCUGAAGUUUUAGAUAAAGCUCUUUUACGACCCGGUCGAUUUGAUCGACAUAUAUUGCUUGAUCUUCCAACUCUAGAGGAAAGAAAAGAAAUCUUCGAGAGCCAUUUGCGGUUUAUUGUUUUAGAGAAGAAACCAAAUGUUUAUUCAGCAAGACUUGCUCAAUUAACACCAGGGUUUAGUGGUGCAGACAUAGCAAAUGUGGUUAAUGAAGCUGCACUUCAUGCAGCAAGACAUAAGAAAAAAUUUGUUGAUGCUUCGGAUUUAUCAUAUGCCAUUGAUAGAGUUCUUUGUGGUCCAGAAAAGAAGGUACAUGGUGUUUCUCCAGCUGAAAAAAAAAUUGUUGCUUAUCAUGAAGCAGGUCAUGCUUUAGUUGCUUGGAUGUUAGAGCACACUGAUGCUCUCUUGAAAGUGACUAUUAAACCUAGAACUAGAGGAAUGCUUGGAUUUGCACAAUAUAAUCCAAUUGAGCGAAAGAAUUUUAGCAAAGAGCAAUUAUUUGAAAUGAUGUGUGUUGCGUUAGGAGGGCGUGUUGCUGAAAGUAUCAUUUUUAAUACAGUGACAACUGGUGCCCAGAAUGACCUAGAAAGAGUCACUAAAAUAGCAUACUCACAAGUUAGGCAGUUUGGUAUGAGUGACAAAGUUGGAUUGAUAUCUUUCAGUGAAGAAGAAACUGGUCAUGAUACUAAAAAACCAUACAGUAAAAAAUUAGCAGCUCUUAUGGAUACAGAGGCUAAACUUAUGGUUGCUGAUGCUUAUAAAGCUACAGAAAAAUUAUUGAAAGAAAAUCGAGACAAAUUGGAGAAGGUUGCCCAAGCACUUCUAAAAAAAGAAACACUCACAUACGAAGAAGUUGAAAGUCUCAUAGGCCCACCACCUUUUGGAAACAAAGCUAAAGUUGAAUUUUUAGAAAUUGAUGGUCCAGCAAAAAUAGGCAAUGUAACAGAAAUAACAGCAUCACCAUGAUCCUGAAUUUUGAAACAAUAGAAAAAUCAAACUUACAAUGAGCCCACAAAAGAUGAAGAUGUUUAAGCCAUUUUUCUGUUUCCUCAUCAAUGUUAGUGUAAAAUUGUAUAUCUAAAAUUUUUUUAUCGUGUUCAUUAAUUGGAAGGUGUGCUUCAGUUGGAAGAUCCUGAUUAGUCAAUUGAUCCAUUUUAGAAGCCAUAUUCCUGAUUUUGAAGCUAACCUAAACCGAUGGACACAGCCUGGACAAUUGAUUAAAUAUUAACAUUAGAAUAAUUCACAAAUUAGUGAUUAAUAAAAACAUUACAAGAAUAUUCUUCAUAUAUAGUCUAAAUUACACUAAUAAUUAAGUGGAAAGAUAUUUAUUAAUAAACUUUUAACUUGAGUGCAUGGAUGGACACAAUUUCCAAUUUUUCAUCGCAAAAAGAGUAAUAACUCUGUCGAUAAUUUAUAUUAAUAAAGUUAUCAUCCGAGCGGAAUUCACUACUAGCACCACCUACCAGAGAUGAGGUUAUUCGCAAGCUCAGUAAAAAUAUUUGCACAUACGCAGUUUAUUGUACUCCGAAAUUGAAAUUAUAAACGUAUCUUGUGUGAUACAAAAUGAAGUGAAUUCAAAAACACAAUUUUUUACGUAGAAUAUAUGCAACCAUUAGCGUUGACAUUAUAAAUACCAUUAGUGCAAUUAAAAUACCAAUAAAUUCUCUUUAGAAUGUCCUGUAACCGUAAACAACGAAAUAUUAGUAUGCAAAGCCUAGAGGGAAUCGAAAUUAACGUUCGAUCAGAGAUGCUAACCAGAAAAUAUUGCUGUAAUUGGUAAGUUU
rnacentral:misc_RNA from 1 species